rfam:Elusimicrobia bacterium CG1_02_56_21 cg1_0.2_scaffold_255_c, whole genome shotgun sequence.
GCCGAGGUAGCUCAACUGGUAGAGCGUUCGCUUCGUAAGCGACAGGUUGUGGGUUCAAGUCCCAUCCUCGGCU